rnacentral:rRNA from 1 species
GAUGGACGCUGGCGGCGUGCCUAAUACAUGCAAGUCGAGCGAACAGACGAGGAGCUUGCUCCUCUGACGUUAGCGGCGGACGGGUGAGUAACACGUGGAUAACCUACCUAUAAGACUGGGAUAACUUCGGGAAACCGGAGCUAAUACCGGAUAAUAUAUUGAACCGCAUGGUUCAAUAGAGAAAGACGGUUUUGCUGUCACUUAUAGAUGGAUCCGCGCCGCAUUAGCUAGUUGGUAAGGUACGGCUUACCAAGGCGACGAUGCGUAGCCGACCUGAGAGGGUGAUCGGCCACACUGGAACUGAGACACGGUCCAGACUCCUACGGGAGGCAGCAGUAGGGAAUCUUCCGCAAUGGGCGAAAGCCUGACGGAGCAACGCCGCGUGAGUGAUGAAGGUCUUCGGAUCGUAAAACUCUGUUAUUAGGGAAGAACAAAUGUGUAAGUAACUAUGCACGUCUUGACGGUACCUAAUCAGAAAGCCACGGCUAACUACGUG